rnacentral:rRNA from 1 species
CAGGGAAUCUUGCACAAUGGGCGAAAGCCUGAUGCAGCGACGCCGCGUGGGGGAUGAAGGCCUUAGGGUCGUAAACCCCUUUCAGCAGGGACGAAAAUGACGGUACCUGCAGAAGAAGCCCCGGCCAACUAUGUGCCAGCAGCCGCGGUAAGACGUAGGGGGCGAGCGUUGUCCGGAUUUAUUGGGCGUAAAGAGCUCGUAGGCGGUUGCGUAAGUCGGAUGUGAAAACUCAGGGCUCAACCCUGAGACGCCAUCCGAUACUGCGCUGACUUGAAUCCAGUAGGGGAGUGUGGAAUUCCUGGUGUAGCGGUGAAAUGCGCAGAUAUCAGGAGGAACACCCAUGGCGAAGGCAGCACUCUGGGCUGGUAUUGACGCUGAGGAGCGAAAGCAUGGGUAGCGAACAGGAUUAGAUACCCCUGUAGUCCCUGAGCGGGCUGGCAAGGCGCAU